UUUCCAUAGGUGAACCUGCGGAAGGAUCAUAAAAGAGUAAGGGUCCUCUAGGCCCGACCUCCCAACCUUUUGUUUACCAAACCAAUGUUGCUUCGGCGGGCCCGUCUUAGGACCGCCGGAGGACCGUCGAAACGUCCUCUGGCCCGGGCCCGUCGAUGGCCCUUAUUAUUAAAUUCUGGACCAAACGUGUCCUGUCUGAGUGAUUAGUAUCAAAAGUAAAGCAAAAACUUUCAACAACGGAUCUCUUGGUUCUG
rnacentral:misc_RNA from 1 species